AAGCCUCAAGUUAUGUGUGACAACCCCCUGAUUU
rnacentral:rRNA from 1 species